rnacentral:rRNA from 1 species
GGAAAGUUGCAAAGUACUUUGAAGAGAGAGUUCAAGAGGACGUGAAACCGGUAGGGUGGAAGCAGAUAAAGUUGACGAACGUGUGUCGUAUUCAGAACUACAAUUUGUGGUUUGUUUUUACGAUCGAUGUGGGCUGGCGUCUUUGGUUAACUUAGUGUCUGGCGGCAAUGGUGACCCUGCGGAGGGAUAAUCGGUUGUCGUGCGAUGCUUGGUAUGGCUAGAGGUUCGCUGGUCUUAUAGUCAUCGCUUUAUCUGACCCGUCUUGAAACACGGACCAAGGAGUGUAGCGCUUACGCGAGUCUUAGAGUGUGUCAAAACUUUGAGGCGUAACGAAAGUAAAUGUGGAUUUAUUCACUGACUUGGGAUGCGUUGUCUUUUUUGGAUAGCGUUGGACCAUGGUUUUAUCGUAAUCGCUUGCGAUGCGGUGAAAAUAGAGCGUAAGCGGUGCGACCCGAAA